CAGCAACCAUCCCAGACCUGCUAGGUUCCCAGGACAGCCCACACAGCCUGCACGCUCAGAAUGCUGUGAAACCUUCUUACGGGGACAUGCAUCUCAGGUCAUCUCAGCAGCUCACUUUACGCAGAGAAUGAAGACGGCGAUAACAAGAGGAGAAUACUUCCUUCCGGGAUAUCACUGACCUCUGUUGCCAGGAUGCAUAGAAUCUCAUGUGAGGUCCCAGUGACGGCAGUUCCAGGGAAACACCUGGCAGAUGGAGCGCUCCCGACUGCCCAUGCCAUCACUACUGCCCCUCCACUCCUCUGCACCUAGGCUGUUAGCGGAAAAGUACAGUGUUUCAGAAGUUACAGAAGAUGAACAAUAUAACACGGGUUGUACAUUAGUUGAUUUUGUCCAACUGUAGACUAAUCCAAAUAUUCUGCACAUAUUUAAGGACUGUGUAAAGAACCAGACCAAAGCGUUUCAGCACAGAGCUCUUGCAGCUGCCUAUGACUACGUCAUACACAAGUUCCCCCAUAACCCAUCUUUGGCUGCCAAUCUAAAGAGGUCUGUCUUUGGUGUGAGCUUGUCCUUGGCUCUCCCAUCAGUGUCCCAGGGUCAGACCUUCUGAAUUCUUGCUUUUCACUCUCCCACCCAGCAGCAGCAGACGCCGGAAGUUCUCUGUGUACUGUUUUUAUGUCAGAAUCGUGGCAGACAAACCUGGAAAAACCCUCAUGAGAUCCUAGAGAGAAAGAAAUCUAUUCUUCAGUAUAUGACUGCUGUUGGGGCUGGAGGAAAGCUACGGUAUUAAAAGGAAGUGAGAACCCAAGCCAGACACCAGCAAGAGCCUACAGAGAGAAUGGCAUGGAUUGUAAACGUCAAAGGUCCUUUAUCAUAUCUAACACAGCAUGGAAGAGAGGCAUAGAGUGCAUCCAAAUAAACACUGUUUGCAUCCAUGAGGCCUUCAGAGAUGAAGAGCACUUCCUCCUCAGACCAUAUCACAUGCUCAAGUUCAAAUCCCAAGUGUGGGCAGUAGGACACAUGUACACAUAACUACUUUAUGUAUUUUAAAACUUUUUAUUCUUUGUGUUUUUUCACAUCAUGAAUCUCGAUCUCAUUCAUUUCCUGUCCCAUCAUAUCCAUCCUUUGCUU